rnacentral:rRNA from 1 species
CCUACGGGAGGCAGCAGUGAGGAAUAUUGGUCAAUGGGCGCGAGCCUGAACCAGCCAAGUCGCGUGAGGGAAGACGGCCCUACGGGUUGUAAACCUCUUUUGCCGGGGAGCAACGGGCGCCACGUGUGGCGCCACUGAGAGUACCCGGAGAAAAAGCAUCGGCUAACUCCGUGCCAGCAACCGCGGUAAUACGGAGGAUGCGAGCGUUAUCCGGAUUCAUUGGGUUUAAAGGGUGCGCAGGCGGGCCUUUAAGCCGGCGGUGAAAUCGCGGGGCUCAACCCCGCCGAGCCGUCGGAACUGGGGGCCUUGAGUGCGGCGGAGGCAUGCGGAAUGCGCGGUGUAGCGGUGAAAUGCAUAGAUAUCGCGCAGAACCCCGAUUGCGAAGGCAGCGUGCCGUGCCGCCACUGACGCUGAGGCACGAAAGCGCGGGGAUCGAACAGGAUUAGAUACCCCGGUAGUC